CAAGUGACCCCGGUUUACCACCGGGAUGUUCAUAACCCUUUGUUGUCCGACUCUGUUGCCUCCGGGGCGACCCUGCCUUCGGGCGGGGGCUCCGGGUGGACACUUCAAACUCUUGCGUAACUUUGCAGUCUGAGUAAAUUUAAUUAAUAAAUUAAAACUUU
rnacentral:misc_RNA from 1 species